rnacentral:rRNA from 1 species
GAUGAACGCUAGCUACAGGCUUAACACAUGCAAGUCGAGGGGAAACGAUAGAGAAAGCUUGCUUUUUCUAGGCGUCGACCGGCGCACGGGUGAGUAACGCGUAUCCAACCUGCCCAUCACUUGGGGAUAACCUUGCGAAAGUAAGACUAAUACCCAAUGAUAUCUCUAGAAGACAUCUGAAGGAGAUUAAAGACUUAUCGGUGAUGGAUGGGGAUGCGUCUGAUUAGCUUGUUGGCGGGGUAACGGCCCACCAAGGCGACGAUCAGUAGGGGUUCUGGGAGGAAGGUCCCCCACAUUGGAGCUGAGACACGGUCCAAACUCCUACGGGAGGCAGCAGUGGGGAAUAUUGGUCGAUGGGCGAGAGCCUGAACCAGCCAAGUAGCGUGCAGGAUGACGGCCCUAUGGGUUGUAAACUGCUUUUAUAAGGGAAUAAAGUGAGCCUCGUGAGGCUUUUUGCAUGUACCUUAUGAAUAAGGACCGGCUAAUUCCGUGCCAGCCGCCGCCGUAA